UACGAGGGGGGCGAGCGUUGUUCGGAAUUAUUGGGCGUAAAGGGUGCGUAGGCGGUUUGGUAAGUCUUGUGUGAAAUCUACAGGCUCAACUUGUAGUCUGCACGAGAAACUGCCGGGCUUGAGUGUGGGAGAGGUGAGUGGAAUUCCUGGUGUAGCGGUGAAAUGCGUAGAUAUCAGGAGGAACACCUGUGGCGAAAGCGGCUCACUGGACCACAACUGACGCUGAUGCACGAAAGCUAGGGGAGCAAACAGG
rnacentral:rRNA from 1 species